rnacentral:rRNA from 1 species
GGAUGGGCAUGCGUUGUAUUAGUUAGUUGGUGGGGUAACGGCUCACCAAGACCACGAUACAUAGGGGGACUGAGAGGUUAACCCCCCACAUUGGUACUGAGACACGGACCAAACUCCUACGGGAGGCAGCAGUGAGGAAUAUUGGUCAAUGGACGCAAGUCUGAACCAGCCAAGUCGCGUGAGGGAAGACGGUCCUACGGAUUGUAAACCUCUUUUGCCGGGUAUUUUCGGGGUCCUUGCGAGGGCCCUAUGAGAGUACCCGGAGAAAAAGCAUCGGCUAACUCCGUGCCAGCAGCCGCGGUAAUACGGAGGAUGCGAGCGUUAUCCGGAUUUAUUGGGUUUAAAGGGUGCGUAGGCGGGCUGUUAAGUCAGCGGUCAAAUGUCGGGGCUCAACCCCGGCCUGCCGUUGAAACUGGCGGCCUCGAGUGGGCGAGAAGUAUGCGGAAUGCGUGGUGUAGCGGUGAAAUGCAUAGAUAUCACGCAGAACUCCGAUUGCGAAGGCAGCAUACCGGCGCCCUACUGACGCUGAGGCACGAAAGCGUGGGUAUCGAACAGGAUUAGAUACCCUGGUAGUCCACGCAGUAAACGAUGAAUGCUAGCUGUCCGGGACUUCGGUUCUGGGUGGCACAGCGAAAGCGUUA